rnacentral:rRNA from 1 species
UAGCAGAGGGUGCAAGCGUUAAUCGGAUUUACUGGGCGUAAAGGGUGCGUAGGUGGUUGCGUAAGUGAGAUGUGAAAUCCCCGGGCUUAACCUGGGAACUGCGUCUUAUACUGCGUGGCUGGAGUACAUGAGAGGGUAGUGGAAUUUCCGGUGUAGCGGUGAAAUGCGUAGAUAUCGGAAGGAACACCAGUGGCGAAGGCGGCUACCUGGCAUGAUACUGACACUGAGGCACGAGAGCGUGGGGAGCAAACAGG